rnacentral:rRNA from 1 species
AUACGAAGGGUGCAAGCGUUAAUCGGAAUUACUGGGCGUAAAGCGCGCGUAGGUGGUUUUGUAAGUUGGAGGUGAAAGCCCCGGGCUCAACCUGGGAAUUGCCUCCAAAACUGCAUGACUAGAGUACGGUAGAGGGUAGUGGAAUUUCCUGUGUAGCGGUGAAAUGCGUAGAUAUAGGAAGGAACACCAGUGGCGAAGGCGACUACCUGGACUAAUAGGGCCACUGAGGUGCGAAAGCGUGGGGAACAACCAGGAUUAGAUACCCUGGUAGUCCACGUCGUAAACGAGGUCAACUAGCCGUUGGGAUCCUUGAGAUCUUAGUGGCGCAGCUAACGCAUUAAGUUGACCGCCUGGGGAGUACGGCCGCAAGGUUAAAACUCAAAUGAAUUGACGGGG